rnacentral:rRNA from 1 species
AGAGUUUGAUCCUGGCUCAGAUUGAACGCUGGCGGCGUGCUUAACACAUGCAAGUCGAACGAGAAAGGGGCUUCGGCCCUGAGUAGAGUGGCGCACGGGUGAGUAACGCGUAAGUAACCUACCUCUAUAUCUGGGAUAACACUUCGAAAGGGGUGCUAAUACCGGGUACACUCAUUGUCCGCGAGGAUGGUGAGGAAAGGUGACCUCUUCAAGAAAGUUGCCGUAUAGGGAGGGGCUUGCGUACCAUUAGCUGGUUGGUGGGGUAACGGCCUACCAAGGCGACGAUGGUUAGCGGGUCUGAGAGGAUGAUCCGCCACACUGGAACUGGAACACGGACCAGACUCCUACGGGAGGCAGCAGUGAGGAAUAUUGCGCAAUGGGGGCAACCCUGACGCAGCGACGCCGCGUGAGUGAAGAAGGCCUUCGGGUUGUAAAGCUCUGUCAGCAGGGAAGAAGUGCCAGAUGGCUA